UCUUCAUCUGUCCUGAUUCAGUUCGUGUCUUCAGCUGCUGUAGCAGGGAUAUGUGUUGGUGUUGUUCUGCUGAUAGUGACUGCUGGUGUGAUUUACUAUCGCAAGCGUCAACAAGCAGGAAGAUAUUGAUCAGGAACCAGGACUCAGCGCAGUGAUCAGUUUUGUGGUACAUGCUCCUCUGUUAAUCUUGCUGACAAUGGAUCUGAGCCUGCUGCUGCUGAGACCUUCCCGUGACGG